AGAUAGUUUUUAUUAGUGGUGGUUUCAAAGAAAAUCUGGUGUAUAUAAUGGCUCAGUCUGUAGCCUACAUGCUGGUUGGCAGGCAACAGGAUCCCUUGCCUUCAGCCUAUAAGCCCGCUAUAAUGUGAGCUAGUAAAAAAAAAAAAAAAAAAAAAAAAAAAGGGAGAGAGCGAGAGGAAAAAAAAAUCCCACUCUUAUCGAUUCUGCCUCCAACAUAGCAACUGGCCGCUGAUUGGCUGAGGCUCGGCUCGGUCUCCGGCUCCCAUUGGCUGACGGGUGAGCGUGAAACCGUGGAAUCGGACGGAGACAGAGGGGAGGAGGGACGUCAUUGGCUGCCGCAAACUGAAAGCGAAAACCUCUUUUUCUGAAAGCCUGCGAGACAGUUGAUGGUGUGUGUGUAUUUUAGGCGUGACUCCAAAGGUAAUUCGUCCUGCUACCCCCAUCCCCCCAACACACACACACACGGGGUUUAUUUAAAUUGAGAAAAGCCAAAAGGGAUGAAUUUAAAGGAGCUAGCUGUGUGACUGAGGUGUGUUGACAAGAAAGUAGAAGGGGAGGAAGAGAAAUUAGCUCACGAGACAAAAAAAAAAGAAGUGGGGGCUGCUGUUUUUUUUUUCUUUUAUACAAAGAUUAACACUGAAAGCUAAGGAAAGGGAGUAGGAUAAGCUAAACUGCUACAGAAGUAAAUAGCUUGGGGGCACAGCCAGGUGUGAGUGUGUUCCCGGUGAAAGGAAAUGUAGGAAAAGGCCCAGCUUGACCUUUCCAGCCUUCACUUUUACAUGCCAUCCUGUACAGGAGCGGGAGAAAUGUUCUGAAUACUCCUUCCUGUCCCUCCUGCUUUCUGCCCACUCUCUGUCUGUCUGUGUCUUUAGGACACUCACGCAGCCCGAGGGUGACUCAGCUCCGGUACAUUCUGUCCGUCCGAUAUAUCCAGCCACACUGCAUCUGGUCAAUCCUAGCAGAGCACACACGCUGCCUGUCCUCCGGCUCUCCGUGCUGACACAGUGUGUCCUCCAGUGCCCUCGCCGCCUCGUAUCUCCCGACGACCCAAGGCUGAGCUCGUCCCGCUGCAACGGCUCCGCCAGACGGUAAUCUAAAAUGUAACGUUUACUUGGGGGGGAAAGAAAAAGACCAAAAUAGUUCCUUCCUGCGUUGCUUAAUCAAAACAGAGAAAAAAAACACUGCAUUAGUUGACAAAACCCUCAUCAGUUUAUUGUCUUUCAGCAAGAAAAAGGUCAGGAUCUCACAUUGCUUAGCUUCACCCGAGGAAGUUUCCUCAGUCCCCCGGUGGAGUUAUGUAUUUUUAAGAGCCUUAAUCAACCUCCUUCCACAAACCAACCUCAGAAAUACAUUUCACGGUUUCUCUGUACAGAGUAUCUAUUGUCCUCAAACUUGAAAAAUGUGCCAAGUUCAACAUGGAUUCCUUUCCUCUUAAGCUAUGUAGGCUGCAUGUCAUUAAAAAAACAUUCAUAGCUCGAGCAAUGCCACAGUUCAAGUAAUGGAGGCAGGAUACUUCCGGACCUCUGGCAGUUCACACAAACAUCGGAGGCCACAUCAUACCGACACCACCAAAAGAGAGUGCAUUUUUGUGGCAAAUGUCAACCUCUCGUAACAGCAUUACCUUCACCACCACCACCACCAUCAUCAUCGUCAUACAUUGCAACAAUAGAAAUACUGUUGGAUUGCACUUUCUUCAAGCUUUCAUCUUGUGGCAUGUUUAUAGAAAAAAUAUAUAUAGAAUACAAAAAGCUUAUACUUCUUUAGAGUAACAGAAUAUAACAUACAGUACUUCAGAUUAUGUUUUGAUCAGCACAUCAGCAGGUGUACAUUAAUUGCCCUACCCUUGCCCAAAUGCAAUUACCGGACUAAACAGGGAUGUAGUUUUGCUCACUAUUAAGUGCUUUGCCAAUGGGUAUAACAUUGAGUAUGCUUUUACUAUGGUAUUCUACAGGAUGUUAAUGCUACAUAAUUAUCCGCUCUAUAUGAAUGUCUGUUAAGGAAGGGGCAAAGAGUCAAGAUGCACCACGACUUUUCACAUAUUCACACAUUGCAUUUUACCCAGAAAAAAUGGUUUGGUCCACCAAACUGGUAUGAUGGAAUCAGCCUGUUUACAGCACCAUUUUUUUUUUUUUUUUUU